rnacentral:rRNA from 1 species
GAGCUAAGACAGAUUCCCAGUCGUCCCGAGGGCUAACCCACUCUUGGGAUCGGAGGGAGCCAGGGAGGAGAGGGAAGCGAGAACGUCGCCGGGCGGAGGGUGUAGGAGCGUGGCGGGGGCGACGAGAGGGAGCGCGACGGGGCGGCGGGGACGGCGAGAGGAACGCAGCAGCGGAGGCGAACGGAGCGGUAGCGAGGGAGCCACGAAUCGUCCCCCUCGCGCCCAGUGGCAGCCGAGAGCGCUCUCCAGUGGAGGGGGCCAGUUGAGACCGGUGGAGGUGGUGGUGUGUGACCGUCCUCGGGUGGCGGUGAGUAGGAAGAGGAGGUAGCGUACCAGUAGUGGCCCUCCCCCUCACCGAGACGGACCUCCGCAGCGAUAGCCGACCUCCUCGCGGCCUGGUAGCAGAAUCCCAAGUACGUGGAGACCCUUCUUCCACUUGGCUCCCCCGACCUAGGGUUGCCCGUUUCUACGUGAGGAGGUCUCGACGACCCUUCUUCUUCUUCUUCUACCCUUUUAUCUUGUUAAAGUUCAAACCAAUAGAGGUACACCUUGGGGAUGGCGCACUACCGGACUAACACAACAGGACAGAGGUACUCGUCCUCCAUCAUUAAGGGUUCGACGUCUUUUAGUUUCUAGUUUAGCAAGGUACAAAACUAAUCCAUCCUCGUUCUCCUUCCUCAUGGAGGUACGAGAACCAUCAUGGAGGUACAACGUUUAAGGCUCCGUGAUGGUUAUAUAACGUGAUAAUGAUGUUGAUAGACCGUUCGAAGUGCUCACUCAUGUCUAACUGCCAAUAAUGGGCCGUUCGUUUAGGUGGAGACGUCGAUACGAACCAUCGAGUAAGAGUUCACUGAACGUUAGAGACGAAUGACUCAAUAACCACAAUUAAGAUGAAGACAAACUCGUAAAACACAAAAUAAACUUCGAAACUUAAUUAGGUCGUAAUCGAAAUGAUUAUUAUUUAAACAAACGGCCCUCGUCAAACUUGUUCGAACGUUGAUCUCACGUUUUAUUUAAUGGAUGUGUUUUCCGUCUACGUCCGGCAGUGACCGCCGACCGUAAGGGGAGGAGCUCGACCGCCUGAUUACUACCUCCUGACGGGGCACGAGGUCGGUGUACGGUGACCGGGCACGAGCAGAACGGAUGGGGCACGAACAAACGGGAGAAGCGAGGUGGCCGCGGCGACGAAGACGAAGACGACGAGCGAGCGGUUGCCGUCGUGUCCAGGCUGAAGUUAGACGACUAAAGACAGACCACUUCGUUCGUUAUCCACUAGAUACAGACCACUUCGUUCUUCCACUAAAUACAGACCUCGUCAAUUGACUUCUAAUUAACCAAGUUCGUUUUAAUCAACUAAGUUCGUUGUUAAAGAAGGGGACGAGGACGUUCAGGUAGUUACCAACGACCACGACCACUCUAGAGAGAAGUUUUACACAACAACUACCACGACUAAAUACGUUCGGGUAUUCAAGAACAACGACGACUAAAUACGUUCGGGUAUACAACAACAACGACGACUAAAUACGUUCGGGUAUUCAAGACAACGACGACUAAACAACGACGACCUUUACACAGUAUUACACAACAGUGUUGUGUGACGAACUACGUGACAGACCUCAUCAUUGUGACGACCUUGGUAUAAAAUCAGGAGAUCAGAUUCAUCGUCAAGUUUUAAGUCAAGUUCGUCGUCAGAAUCGUCAUCAUUACCAACGAACUAGACAAAGUACGUACAUAUAUAGUGGUCAGAUUCGUCAUCAUUACAACGAUACUGAUAAAACAACUAAUCACGUGGGUACGGUAGUCAAAAACUAGAACUAAAGUUUACAGUACCUCAUGACGACCUCAUAUACCAGUUCAAAUACCUCUUCUGUUCUACUUCGCCUGUCCUCUAAACCGAGCGGGCUGGUGACAAGACGGGGCCACGAACAGGCUCUGCUCGCCGGCUGAGCGAUCGAGGGGGAGGGCGGUGACGGAGUAGUAGACACGACGGCAACUGCCGAAGAGCCAUUCUGUCUCUACUCUCAGGUUAGAUGCCGGAGGGAUCCAACGUAGGUAGCCACUCCUCGCCGGCUAGGUGUACACACAGCAGGGACGUCUGUGCUUACAGUCGCUCUCUCCGGUAACUAUCUAGUGUGGUGACAGAGGGAGAGGGGACCACCGUGGAGGGAUGCACUCGAGGAAGGUAUUUAGGGAACGCGACGGAGAGAAGGAUCGAAAAACGGUUCCCAUGUCAAAAAGACGUACCCCCUAAUCCGACCAGUGAAUCCUACUAUUAACGGAGUUUACUAAGUCUAAUUCUCAAGACGAGAUUCUAUACAUACGGGAUCUCUUGAUUAAUAAAACGACCAAAACGUCUAAAACUCUACACUGGACCAACCAAAACCCUGAAAACCACAGUCAUAUAAGAAACACGGGAACGGUCCCUAAUAGACUACACCCAGUACUGUGUUCGUUAUAGACUACACCCCGUACUUACAAGUAUAGGCUUUCUAAUUCUGUUUUCAAAUUAUAACUGUAUUCGUAUGAUUGUUACAUUAAUACAGAAGAGUUUUAUUGUACCAGUUUCUUUCGAGUAGGGAUGUUUUAGUAUAUCAAACCGAUACGAGGUAGAAGCAGUGUGUUUUAUAAAUUUAGUACGUGUUGGGGCCAAAAUCCGUUCGUUAACAAAGUAUGAAAUCAUAAGAGUUUAAAAAAGUUGAAAGUGCGUUAUGUACUCGCACCCGGUAACUGUAUCGUGAUAUCCACCUUAUCUUACCACCAACACCUCUUCUGUUUUUUCUCCACUAUCACAGUGUAGUUGAUCCGCAUAGUUGUACGAUACCUCUACGGGUAAUUAUCUAUAGUUACAAUCACUCAUACCUAACGGUAAGUUACCUACGUAAUUUCGAUAUUUACAUACUUUCGAGUUUUUCUUUGAUUCACCCACACGUAGGUUGAACAAACGAGUACUUCUGGAUACCAUAAACUCCUUCGGGUAGCAACCUUAUAUGUUCGGUUCAAGAUAUUACUUCUUAAGGG